UACGUAGGUGGCGAGCGUUGUCCGGAUUUAUUGGGCGUAAAGCGCGCGCAGGCGGUGAGGUAAGUCCGUCGUGAAAUCUCCCGGCUCAACUGGGAGGGCGCGGGGGAGACUGCCUGACUGGAGGCACUCAGAGGCCGGUGGAAUUCCCGGUGGAGUGGUGAAAUGCGUAGAGAUCGGGAGGAACACCAGUGGCGAAGGCGGCCGGCUGGGGGUGACCUGACGCUGAGGCGCGAAAGCGUGGGGAGCGAACCGG
rnacentral:rRNA from 1 species